UGGGGGAUAUUGGACAAUGGGGGCAACCCUGAUCCAGCAAUGCCACGUGUGUGAAGAAGGCCUGCGGGUUGUAAAGCACUUUCAGAAGGGAAGAAGGACGCGAAAGCGUAUUGACAUUACUUUCAGAAGAAGCACCGGCUAACUCUGUGCCAGCAGCCGCGGUAAUACAGAGGGUGCGAGCGUUAAUCGGAAUUACUGGGCGUAAAGCGCGCGUAGGUGGUUAUUUAAGUUGGACGUGAAAUCCCUGAGCUUAACUUAGGAAUGGCGUUCAAAACUGGAUGACUGGAGUGGAGUAGAGGUGAGUGGAAUUUCCGGAGUAGCGGUGAAAUGCGUAGAUACCGGAAGGAACACCAGUGGCGAAGGCGACUCACUGGACUCUAACUGACACUGAGGUGCGAAAGCGUGGGGAGCAAACAGGAUUAGAUACCCCCGUAGUCC
rnacentral:rRNA from 1 species